UAAUACGUAGGGUGCGAGCGUUAAUCGGAAUUACUGGGCGUAAAGCGUGCGCAGGCGGUUGAUUAAGACAGGCGUGAAAUCCCCGGGCUUAACCUGGGAACUGCGCUUGUGACUGGUCAGCUAGAGUACGGCAGAGGGGGGUGGAAUUCCACGUGUAGCAGUGAAAUGCGUAGAGAUGUGGAGGAACACCGAUGGCGAAGGCAGCCCCCUGGGCCGAUACUGACGCUCAUGCACGAAAGCGUGGGUAGCAAACAGGAUUAGAUACCCUGGUAGUCCACGCCCUAAACGAUGUCAACUAGUUGUUGGGAGGGUAAAACCUUUUAGUAACGUAGCUAACGCGU
rnacentral:rRNA from 1 species